rnacentral:lncRNA from 1 species
UGGUAUCUAGAGCCAAAUUUAUAGAAGAAGAUCAUGGAAGGUAUGAUGGACAUGUUCCACACCGCGCAAGGCUUGCAUGGGGGUGUCCAGAGAAGGACAUGGCGCAAGGUGGAGCAUGGCGGCGAUCGACGACUUGAUCGUUGAAGUUGGAAACUUCGAGCGGGUGGCUCGGACCGUCCAAUGGGCUGCAAUUAACAGGGAUCGUUCCAGACGUGGAGAUCGGGUUGAUGGCGGCUGGUGGCUGUUGUUCGAUAGGGGUCGGUCAGACGUGACGACCAGGUUCGACGGUACGGCUAGAAGACGUCGUGGAUGAGACGGCGGCUUUGACUCGCGGUCAGGUUGAUGAGAUUUUGAUCUUGAUCGUGAUGAUCGUUGCUGGAGUAGUAACGAUGACGGCAAAAAGCUAUAGUGGACUCAUCGUGUUUUGAUGGAGGUGUCAUGCAUCGGCAAUAUUGUGGGCGUUCAGUAUGGCCAAGUAAAGACGGGC